GAUGAACGCUGGCGGCGUGCCUAAUACAUGCAAGUCGAGCGAACGGACGAGACGCUUGCUUCUCUGAUGUUAGCGGCGGACGGGUGAGUAACACGUGGAUAACCUACCUAUAAGACUGGGAUAACUUCGGGAAACCGGAGCUAAUACCGGAUAAUCUUUUGAACCGCAUGGUUCAAUAGUGAAAGACGGUCUUGCUGUCACUUAUAGCUGGUUCCGCGCUGCAUUAGCUAGUUGGUACGGUAACGGCUUACCAAGGCAACGAUGCAUAGCCGACCUGAGAGGGGGGUAGGCCACACUGGAGCUGAGACGCGGACCAUAGUCCUACGGGAGGCAGCAGUAGGGAAUCGGACGCAAUGGGCGAAAGCCUUACGGAACAACGCCGCGUGAGAGAUGGAGGUCUUCGGAUCGUAAAACUCUGUUAUUAGGGAAGAACAGAUUUGUAAGGAACUGUGCACAGCUUGACGGUACCUAAUCAAAAAGCCACGGCUAACUACGUG
rnacentral:rRNA from 1 species